rnacentral:lncRNA from 1 species
UAUCAGUUAAAUUCUUUUGUUUAUCAUGCUCAUUAUCAUUAUUAUUUAAAUCAUUUUUACAUAAAAAUCAUUUUUGUAUUAUUAUUUAAGUAAAGCAUUUAAUGUUGUGGAGCUAUGUUAAAGAUAAUAGCCUGUGAUGAAAAUGUAAUUAAUUAAAACCAUUAUAAUUAUAACUAAGGACAUUUUUCGAAAAAUAAAAAUGAUUAUAAAGUACAUAUACAGAUUUAUCCUAUAUUUUAAACCUUAGGCUUUAAAUAUGACAAAACAUCAAAACACACCCAGAAUUGACUUUUACUUCCACCCUAAUCCCUUGGAGUUUUUUUCUCCUUUAAUUUUCUUCGAUAUUGAUUUUUUAGAUUUUGCCAAGGGUUUUCUUGCAGCAGAUUCUGCAAAAUAUGGGAUUAUUCACUGUUAUAUGAAGUUAUGAAAGGCAGUACUUUAAUAUCUUUCGAUAUUAAAUUGCAUUAGCAGAUUAACUGUUUAUAUACAGGCCUAAAUCUAAAUAAAAUUUAUCUUCAAUAUUUAAGUUCUUGGCUAUCGCUUCCCAGGAAUUGCAUCUUAAUUUAUUUUUGUGAUUUGUCCUUGUGUAAAUCCAUGGAUAUUUUUCUGAUUUGUUUAUUAGUUCUCCGCCAUUUUACUUAAAGCUAACAGAAACUCUUCUUGUAGUAUGGAAGUUUCUUAGUGGUUGCAGCUAUCUUACUGUUCAGCGUCGAAUUCGAAAUAUUCAAGUUUCCGAAUCGGCCCGACUGCGAUGCGUAAUCGGAUCAGUUGGGUCGGUUGCUACAGAAACACAAUUACAAUUUGGACCCAAUGUGAAGCCACCGUAAGUCUGGCAUCCGUAUGGCGAGAAAUCGCCUUUUCCAGAGAGAAAGAAACAAGUUUUUUAUGGGGACUACUCCUAGCAGAAGUUCGCACUGUUACAUUGACAGGAGCCAUUCCCGACAGUAAUUUCUGCCCCAAAUGGUACAGACAAUACUUCGCAAGUGUAUGAGUAAAAUACCGAAUUUUUGUUACUAUUUGGCUGGAAGCUUCGAUAAUGCAACUUUUUACCGGCUGUAAAGGGUCUGUCCGUUUCAUGCGCUGUAGCCAUUCGCCAUAUUGUCCAGGAAUUAUGCAUGCGCCAUAGAUUAAAUCGCACAGACAAGUCAAAUACAACUUACAAAGGGAAACUAGUAUUUUGAAUCUCCAUUCAAAGUGUGGCGUAAUCUAUAUGGAAGUGGUUUAUGAACAGCGAAGACCGGAAAUGGAGUUCUAUUGAAGGGAUAGGGAUUGUUUAAUAUGAUUAAAAUAUGACAAACUAUGUUGGGGAAAAUAACAGAAACUACGCAGAGCGGAAUAGAGAUAGGGAAAAUUAUAAGGCUCGGGAAAAUACAAAAAGAAAGGAAAAUUUUUUUCUUUCCGACCAGAUUCUGCGGCCUCCCUUGCGAUAGUCCAUGUGCAUGUCAGUUCGGUUGUUAUCCGAUUGUUCUUCGUAAUUAUUAAACAUUUAAAAAAUGUGUGUCUAUGUCCUAUAAUUUUUAAGUGGGAUCCCCGACUAUACUUCAUUGACAGGAUAUGGCCCUUUCCUUCGAAAGUUUGCGGGUUGCUGCUCUACAAUUAUAAAAUUCAAUUUCUGUUCACUGCAAUGAAUUUAAUGUACAUUCUUUAUAAAAUAAUAAGCACUCUACUUUUCAGAAAUAAUAAAUUUGUUAUUGUCUAGUUGUAUUAAUACGUGACCUACUGAAUGUAAGUCACAUAUUGACACAUUCACUUGAAUGUCACUUAUCAUAUCAGUCAUUCAUCUGUUACUUCUCUACCAUUUUGAUCUUUCUUACACUUAUUGUUUUAUAUAGUUAUUUGUUGCAAACAUUAAUAGCAUUAAAUAUUGUAUAGAUGGAUUUCCUAAUCGUUUUAUCUUGAGUAAUUUUGAUCCAAAACCUAUGUAUUGAUAUAUUUAGUCUUUUUAAAAGAAAUGAUAUAUGGUAUCUUAUUUAUUACACAUAUGGAAGAUACUCAGUGGCGUACAAGGGGCGAAGGGGGCGGAACGCCCUGGGCCACUGAUCAGGAGAGGCCUCCGAAGAACCUUAAAUUUAUUUAAUUUUGAUUAAAUAAAUGUUAAUUAUAUAUUUGUGUUGACAUUUUAUUUGGUGAUUAUUCCAAUUA